AGUGAACGCUGGCGGUAGGCCUAACACAUGCAAGUCGAACGGCAGCACAGUAAGAGCUUGCUCUUACGGGUGGCGAGUGGCGGACGGGUGAGGAAUACAUCGGAAUCUACUUUUUCGUGGGGGAUAACGUAGGGAAACUUACGCUAAUACCGCAUACGACCUACGGGUGAAAGCAGGGGAUCUUCGGACCUUGCGCGAUUGAAUGAGCCGAUGUCGGAUUAGCUAGUUGGCGGGGUAAAGGCCCACCAAGGCGACGAUCCGUAGCUGGUCUGAGAGGAUGAUCGGACACACUGGAACUGAGACACGGUCCAGACUCCUAAGGGAGGCAGCAGUGGGGAAUAUGGGACAAGGGGGGGGAUCGUGAUCCAGCCAUACCGCGUGGGUGAAGAAGGCCUUCGGGUUGUGAAGCCCUUGUGUUGGGAAAGAAAAGCAGCAGGUUAAUACCCCGCUGUUCUGACGGUACCCAAAGAAUAAGCACCGGCUAACUUCGUG
rnacentral:rRNA from 1 species